UGAAGCCGUUGGUGCGUUCAUCUCAUUUCACAAGAAUUAGAUAACUGCUUCAUAGUCCUGGGUUCAAAUUCCUGCUGGGCACUACAUGUGGAAUUUCUCUCCUCUGUGUCUGUGGGACGUGUGAAGUGAACUGGAGUGAGCCUAGACUAGUCUGGUGUGAGCUUGACCUGUGACAGAUUGGGUUGUGCCCAGAGUUUCUGGGAGUGGCAUAACUCUGAACUGGACGAGCUACAUGUGAGGUGCCAAAAAAAAAAUGUCCAAUAAGGGCACAUAGCCCUGCCCCUUCCGGUCUGACCUCCAUAAAAGCUGGGCAUCCCAAGAGAAGAUGUCUUUUAAGGCCAAUUCAAGCUGCAGAAUGGAGCACCGUCUAUUUUGAAAGGUUGCCAUUCAGUUGACGAGAAACCUCAGUUUUGAGGAUUAGCACAAAGCCACACAUUUCUCUUUAAUUUUUUUGUUCUUUUUGUUUCAUCUGGUGACAAAUAAAAGGGAUGACCUGGUUGGCAUCCCAAAAGUC